UACGUAGGGGGCAAGCGUUGUCCGGAAUCAUUGGGCGUAAAGCGCGCGUAGGCGGCCCGGUAAGUCCGCUGUAAAAGUCCAGGGCUCAACCCUGGAAAGCCGGUGGAUACUGUCGGGCUAGAGUCCGGAAGAGGCGAGUGGAAUUCCUGGUGUAGCGGUGGAAUGCGCAGACAUCAGGAGGAACACCGAUGGCGAAGGCAGCUCGCUGGGACGGUACUGACACUGAGGCGCGAAAGCGUGGGGAGCGAACAGG
rnacentral:rRNA from 1 species